GCAGUGACUGAAGAGAAUUCUCUCCCGUUUCCCAUGAUUUAUCACAGGCGAGGUCACGGCAGGUUAAAAUACUUGAACGCCGCGAUAGCAUACGUCCUGGCAUGGUUUUAUGAGUAGUCAUUCAUAACAUAUUUGUCGCAAAGCAUAAUUUCCAAGAUAGAACCCUGAUCCACAUGCAGUUUUUUUUUUUCACAGCAACAACACAGGCGCAGUAACUCCUUCGUGGAGGCUGCUUCCAUUUUCACAAUGUCCAGCUCCACGCUAGAGCUUCGGGGAAAGGGACCGAGGAAGUGACUGGUUCGCCAACUGAAACUCCCUGGGACAGACAAGACUGGGAGCCUUGGUGAAAGGGAGGAGACCCUGUGUCCCCGGUUUUGCCAAGUCAGCCUGGCCCAUCCUCUGACAGCUAAAUCAACACUCUUUAUCCUGUGGCGACUGAUAACGCAUCCACCGCUUCCUGGUAAGAUCGUAACGCGGGAGGUCUUCCCUCUGAGUCGUCUCAAAGAUCUGCGAUUAGGGACAAUUAGGGACUGGUGUGCCUGCCUUUCCUCUCCUUUCAGCCAAGGAGGAAAUCCUGAUGGGACAUUAUCAGGGGCGAGACAUCAUCCGUCAGCCGCCGUCACAGGAACCCAGGGCUCAUCCAGACCCCACGCCAAUCUUUCCGCCUUUAUCUGCGCUCCCCAAAUGCCUCAGCCUGUUUGCUGAUAGAGGAAUCCGGCAUCUCCUCUUCUCAAGGACCCGAAAAAGAUUCUUCGAUAGCAAGAAACUAAGGUAGGCAUUAUGGAGUGUCAAGGAAAUUGGGAACGGGAAAUAGACACAGUGCCUUCCAUCAAGGAGCUUCCAACACUCCCACCGGGAAAAGGGGCAUCCGUGUACACACAGAGACAAGGGAAGCGCAUAACCACAGACCUGUAAUGGGAGGUACCCACCUUCCCGCGUGCCACCUGUCAGAACCCUUAGGGCUCACGUGACACCUGCGUGAGGAAGCAUCCUUCUCCCCUGCGUCGGUGCCCUCCUACCCCACACAGAAGCGAUUUCAUUAUAUUUCCAUCUAGGACUUCCCAUAUGGCUCACGACAUCAUUAUAUUUCUGUAGCAAACUGCAAAGCUAUCACCCUAGCAUAUACAGUAGCAUUUAAGUAACGGCAUAUUAAACUGCAGUCCUCAUUUCCAGAUGCUUUGCUUUAAAUUUGGAUAUAGCUGCAUCCGCUCUUGCGUGUUUUUUCAUUUGUCUCUUCCACCACAUUGUGCGCAAAAUGGAUGCU
rnacentral:lncRNA from 9 species